rnacentral:lncRNA from 1 species
UAUUAUCUCGUUAUAAUAUUUUUAGACUCAAAGGAUAUCCGUUAUUCAAAAUGAGGCAAGGGUAUGACCAUCAUUGACCUAGUACAGCGGGAUCCGAAAGGUUCUAACCAUUAUGUUAAGGUGAAAUCUUUUGAAUACACACUAUAUAUAUGUACACAAACACAAUGGUAUUGGUCUUUUUGGUUGCACAUCAUUCAUAUACAUAUAUCUGUUAAGCCAUCAAUGUCAAGACAAAGGUACCAAUGGUCAAAAAGUAAACAAGCUUUUAAUGUAGGCAAAGUUUUGGGGAAAAUCGACUUUAAUCACCCUACAAUACGGCUAACUAACACCUCAUUCAAAAGACACUGAGUCAGGCAUUAUUUUUUUUUGUCUGGUCAUAAUUGAAAAAUAUCGCAUAUUUCUGGACUUCAGGUUAUAAAAUCAUUGAUAUUUUGUGAAAGGCUAAUGUCAAUUGUUUAUUUUUGUAGUUAAGUAGCUGUUUCAAUGACAUAUACCGGAACACCAUAUUUCAUUUAAUCAUUAUCUUAAUAAGUAAAAAGUGUUUUUUUCUUCUUCAAAAAAAAAAAAAAAACUGAUUAUCUUUGCUACUUACAUACAUAUUCGACAAACAUUGCAUCACAUUGCCGUCAAAUGACAAUGAUGAUAAAACUACCAAUAAUGACGGCGUUUAUAAAGAUUAAAUAAAUUAACUAAUGAUAGAGUCUAUCGGCAUCAGGACAUUAAAAGAUAUACAAGUCUUGUUACGGUAGCUACUCAAAUUGAAUAGACAAUCUUAAACCAAGAACAACAGAUCACUGCCAUGCUCCCUUAUAAACACCAUACAUAUUGAGAAUUGUUUGACGUAUAGUGAAGAGUUUUAUGUGGUCCCUUUCUAUAUGUAUCACAACCGUGUCAUAGUUAAUCCUUACUAGCAUCUGUGUUCAAAUUGAAAGACGAACACGUUGUUUCCAAUAUUUUUGAUAUAUGAUUGAUAAAUUUGUAUUUUAUUCACGGCUUGUUUCACUCUAACUUUUACAUUUUUAGGCUACAUUUGAGCAUGUUUUGGCAGAAGCAGAAGGUGUCCACAGUUUAGACUGCACUUGGAACUGUGUUCACAGUACUUAUACCGGAGCUCGUAACUGUUGCUAUGCAACGCUGACAUUUGUAAUAGGAUUGUGUUGCGCACUUUGUUGGGGUUGCCAUUUUGGCGUAGUUUCGUUUUUCAAUGUAUGGUGUAUAUCACCAACAUUAAGUGUCGUGGCAUAUAUGUUGGAAUGUUGCUACAGCAUAAUUGGUAACAUUGUCAUUUGUAUCUUUGCGCCUAUAUGCGACACGUGUGGCAUCAUGUUUACAAGUAUUCAAAUAGAAAGACACAAUAUUUUUAAUGCAGAUUUUGUUUAAGCUAUUUUUGUAUAAUUGAAUAUUCCAAUAAAUUGCAUUUUUUGAAAAAUGGCCA